rnacentral:lncRNA from 1 species
CCCACACAGCACCCUGGCAGCACAAUGAGAACACUCAGAACCCCUUUGUCUUGCCCCCUCGUUCUGUAUCAACACAGCCCAGAUAGCAGGCAGAGUGAGCAGAAGGUUGAUGGGUGAGGAAGAAUCAUGACAUUGCCCACCCACCAAACACACCCUUGACACCCAGAGCGGACCCAGUGGUUCCCUCUAGUCAGCCAGCCCCUCACCAGGUCCUGACACCAUCCAGAAGUUACACACUCAGAAGAGAUGCAGCCCACACCCAGCCAGCACCCUCUUCCAGGAAGGACUGGGCAGGCUCGGUUGGUCUGGACCAGGUUCCAGCUGCCUCUGCCCCAGUCUUUCUCCUGGCUACAGCCACCAGCACAGCUUGGGGACCUGAUGGCCACUCUCCAUCACUGCUCAUUAAGUACUUCCAGCAACUGAAGAAAAGUGAAUACACAGAGGGAAAAGGUGACAAGAUUCAGACCGAGAAACAUAUGCAAGAAAUCAUUGAGCAGUAACUACUAGUGUUGAUGAAAAACGAAGACUAAAUGAACAUCUGGAAAAACUCCAGAUGGAGUGGCUCUGCUGAAGACUGAUGGGAUAUGUGACGUGGAAGGAAAUGAAAAGAAAUAGUUACAGAUAUCAUGAAUGCUACCAAAUUUGCUAUUGAAAAAAUGCUAUCAUGUAGGCACCUCCUUGGUGCACUCCUUCCUUAGAUUCACUCCUUCAGCUAAUGAAGAGCAAAUGACUGGUAUAGAAAUAAUUAAAGAACACAACCAAUU